rnacentral:rRNA from 1 species
GGGACACGUGGUAUCCUGUCUGAAUAUGGGGGGACCAUCCUCCAAGGCUAAAUACUCCUGACUGACCGAUAGUGAACCAGUACCGUGAGGGAAAGGCGAAAAGAACCCCGGCGAGGGGAGUGAAAAAGAACCUGAAACCGUGUACGUACAAGCAGUGGGAGCCUCUUUUAUGGGGUGACUGCGUACCUUUUGUAUAAUGGGUCAGCGACUUAUAUUCUGUAGCAAGGUUAACCGAAUAGGGGAGCCGAAGGGAAACCGAGUCUUAACUGGGCGUUAAGUUGCAGGGUAUAGACCCGAAACCCGGUGAUCUAGCCAUGGGCAGGUUGAAGGUUGGGUAACACUAACUGGAGGACCGAACCGACUAAUGUUGAAAAAUUAGCGGAUGACUUGUGGCUGGGGGUGAAAGGCCAAUCAAACCGGGAGAUAGCUGGUUCUCCCCGAAAGCUAUUUAGGUAGCGC